UACAGAGGUCUCAAGCGUUGUUCGGAUUCAUUGGGCGUAAUGGGUGCGUAGGCGGCGCGGUAAGUCGGGUGUGAAAUCUCGGAGCUUAACUCCGAAACUGCAUUUGAUACUGCCGUGCUUGAGGACUGGAGAGGAGGCUGGAAUUUACGGUGUAGCGGUGAAAUGCGUAGAUAUCGUAAGGAAGACCAGUGGCGAAGGCGGGUCUCUGGACAGUUCCUGACGCUGAGGCACGAAGGUCAGGGGAGCAAACGGG
rnacentral:rRNA from 1 species